rnacentral:rRNA from 1 species
AUUGAACGCUGGCGGCAGGCUUAACACAUGCAAGUCGAGCGGGCGAGGUUGCUUCGGUAACUGAGCUAGCGGCGGACGGGUGAGUAAUGCUUAGGAAUCUGCCUAUUAGUGGGGGACAACAUUCCGAAAGGAAUGCUAAUACCGCAUACGCCCUACGGGGGAAAGCAGGGGAUCUUCGGACCUUGCGCUAAUAGAUGAGCCUAAGUCAGAUUAGCUAGUUGGUGGGGUAAAGGCCCACCAAGGCGACGAUCUGUAGCGGGUCUGAGAGGAUGAUCCGCCACACUGGGACUGAGAAACGGCCCAGACUCCUACGGGAGGCAGCAGUGGGGAAUAUUGGACAAUGGGCGAAAGCCUGAUCCAGCCAUGCCGCGUGUGUGAAGAAGGCCUUUUGGUUGUAAAGCACUUUAAGCGAGGAGGAGGCUACUUGGAUUAAUACUCUAGGAUAGUGGACGUUACUCGCAGAAUAAGCACCGGCUAACUCUGUGCCAGCAGCCGCGGUAACAC